rnacentral:tRNA from 1 species
GGAAGCGUGGCAGAGUGGUCGAUUGCACCGGUCUUGAAAACCGGCGAUGUUUUGCGACAUCCGUGAGUUCGAAUCUCACCGCUUCCGCCA